rnacentral:rRNA from 1 species
AUUGAACGCUGGCGGCAUGCCUUACACAUGCAAGUCGAACGGCAGCACGGGUGCUUGCACCUGUUGGCGAGUGGCGAACGGGUGAGUAAUACAUCGGAACAUGUCCUGUAGUGGGGGAUAGCCCGGCGAAAGCCGGAUUAAUACCGCAUACGAUCUACGGAUUAAAGCGGGGGACCUUCGGGCCUCGCGCUAUAGGGUUGGCCGAUGGCUGAUUAGCUAGUUGGGGGGGUAAAGGCCUACCAAGGCGACGAUCAGUAGCUGGUCUGAGAGGACGACCAGCCACACUGGGAGUGAGACACGGCCCAGACUCCUACGGGAGGCAGCAGUGGGGAAUUUUGGACAAUGGGCGAAAGCCUGAUCCAGCAAUGCCGCGUGUGUGAAGAAGGCCUUCGGGUUGUAAAGAACUUUUGUCCGGAAAGAAAUCCUUGGCCCUAAUACGGUCGGGGGAUGACGGUACCGGAAGAAUAAGCACCGGCUAACUACGUG